AUUUAUCACGCACACUCUGACGGGAGCCUAUGGCUGAUAAAGUGGUCUUGUUACUGAACUGAUGAGAGCUGGUCAUCUCUGCCUUGCACGUGUUCUGUCAGGAUAACAUGAGCACGAAUUUGGGCUGCUGUACCUGGAGGCAGGAGCAAGAACUUGGAUUCAGAAUUGACCGGGCAGGAAGCAAGAGAGGAGGAGUUGCCUUUGAUGGGAGCAGAAAUCAAGAUGGGCAGUGGUUCAGACAGGAGCUACAGCAAAGGCAGGCAGUGAAUACUGACUGUUUGGCCUCGGGGCCCCUCUGUACAACAAAGCUUCCCCUGCAGGAGACCAUCUGACUCGUUCUCUGAACACAACUCUAUGCUGAUGACUGCACAUCAUUAAAGUCCAAACAGGCAAAGCAAAUAGCAGAAGGGAAAUAUGGAUCUAAGAGAGACGGAGAGCACCAUGGCAUGACCAGUUGGAUUGAUGAGAGACAUCGAGCCAGUGGUUACAGUCUACAGGU